AUGCAGGACUACUCUGAGAAACACAACUUGCUACAGUGGACUUGCCCCGAUGUCAGAAGUAUGAAAACAAAUCCCCACCACUAAAGAAUCCAGUUGGUUCAGAUACUGGUUGCAUCAGACCUGAACAGAACUUGGAUCAUCAGAACAACAAUCAACACACUUAAACAGCAGCAGAGUGUCUGCGGUCACACUGGGAGUCGUGAGAAGGGUUCAUAUCUAAAAGGUGAAGUUUCGCCUCCUUCCAGGAAACAACUCAGUUAUGUCUCAGUCUGUUGUUCAGAUCUUGUUCUUCAACACUUUGGACCGUUUGAACAAACUGUGAAGGUAGAAAGUGUGUGUGAGCAGAUGUGGAUGUGAAUUCAG